rnacentral:rRNA from 1 species
GACGAACGCUGGCGGCGUGCUUAACACAUGCAAGUCGAACGGGAUCCCACUGGGCUUUUGUUUGGUGGUAGAGUGCGAACGGGUGAGUAAUGCGUGACUAACCUGCCGUAUGGUUGGGGAUAGCUCCUGGAAACGGGUGGUAAUACCCAAUGCUCCAGCUGGAUGCAUGUCUGGUUGGGAAAGCUUUUGUGCCAUAUGAUGGGGUCGCGUCCUAUCAGCUUGUUGGUGGGGUGAUGGCCUACCAAGGCGUCGACGGGUAGCCGGCCUAAGAGGGCGACCGGCCACAUUGGGACUGAGAUACGGCCCAGACUCCUACGGGAGGCAGCAGUGGGGAAUAUUGCACAAUGGGCGCAAGCCUGAUGCAGCGACGCCGCGUGCGGGAUGGAGGCCUUCGGGUUGUAAACCGCUUUUAUAGGGGGGCAAGCUAUGCCUGUGUGGUGUGGUGAGUGGACUUUAUGAAUAAGCACCGGCUA